UGGGACACUAUGGUUCAAAAUGGUGAAUGGCAAUAACAACAGUAAUUUUUAAAAGAUGUUAUAGUUUUUAAAGCACUUUUAUGUGCAUGAUCUAUUGUGAAUUUCCAAACAAUCUUGUGGAUUAAUUUUUCAUCCUUAUUUUACAGAUGAAGAAGCUGAAGGAGAGUGACUUAUCCAAAGUCACACACCGAGGAACUGGAAGGAGAUAAAUGCACUGAGGCCUUCUGGGUCUAUGCAUUCUACCUGUGACUGUUGCCUCUCUUGGCCAUCCCAGAGCAUCAUGUGAUGCUGUGAUAUAACAACAGCAGCGACAACAACAAGAAAUCAAUGUGGUCCCUUGUACGUAAAUUCUAGAAAGAAACUGGCAAAAGUGAGGCCUAGGCCAGUGUUGGAGUGCUGCUGGGACCCCUGCUGCACCACACAGAACCCUUUCCUGAUGACCUUAUAUAUUCUUGCAAGCAACCUGUAAUGUGCUCCAGCUGCUUUCCUUUUUUGUCUCCUCACCCCAUCAGUCAGGACUGGCUGUAAGUAAUAGCUGGAUCAUGGGUUUAUAUUCUCAUGUCUAGAGGCAGGUAGUCCAUGGAUGGUGAAAAUGAUUUUAAUCUAGGCCUAUUAUUACCCUUAAAAAAACUUACAUAGGGAAGAGAUUCAUACAAGUUUGUUUUUU
rnacentral:lncRNA from 1 species